AAAUUGAAGAGUUUGAUCAUGGCUCAGAUUGAACGCUGGCGGCAGGCCUAACACAUGCAAGUCGAACGGUAACAGGAAGCAGCUUGCUGCUUUGCUGACGAGUGGCGGACGGGUGAGUAAUGUCUGGGAAACUGCCUGAUGGAGGGGGAUAACUACUGGAAACGGUAGCUAAUACCGCAUAACGUCGCAAGACCAAAGAGGGGGACCUUCGGGCCUCUUGCCAUCGGAUGUGCCCAGAUGGGAUUAGCUAGUAGGUGGGGUAACGGCUCACCUAGGCGACGAUCCCUAGCUGGUCUGAGAGGAUGACCAGCCACACUGGAACUGAGACACGGUCCAGACUCCUACGGGAGGCAGCAGUGGGGAAUAUUGCACAAUGGGCGCAAGCCUGAUGCAGCCAUGCCGCGUGUAUGAAGAAGGCCUUCGGGUUGUAAAGUACUUUCAGCGGGGAGGAAGGCGAUAAGGUUAAUAACCUUGUCGAUUGACGUUACCCGCAGAAGAAGCACCGGCUAACUCCGUGCCAGCAGCCGCGGUAAUACGGAGGGUGCAAGCGUUAAUCGGAAUUACUGGGCGUAAAGCGCACGCAGGCGGUCUGUCAAGUCGGAUGUGAAAUCCCCGGGCUCAACCUGGGAACUGCAUUCGAAACUGGCAGGCUAGAGUCUUGUAGAGGGGGGUAGAAUUCCAGGUGUAGCGGUGAAAUGCGUAGAGAUCUGGAGGAAUACCGGUGGCGAAGGCGGCCCCCUGGACAAAGACUGACGCUCAGGUGCGAAAGCGUGGGGAGCAAACAGGAUUAGAUACCCUGGUAGUCCACGCCGUAAACGAUGUCGACUUGGAGGUUGUGCCCUUGAGGCGUGGCUUCCGGAGCUAACGCGUUAAGUCGACCGCCUGGGGAGUACGGCCGCAAGGUUAAAACUCAAAUGAAUUGACGGGGGCCCGCACAAGCGGUGGAGCAUGUGGUUUAAUUCGAUGCAACGCGAAGAACCUUACCUACUCUUGACAUCCAGAGAACUUUCCAGAGAUGGAUUGGUGCCUUCGGGAACUCUGAGACAGGUGCUGCAUGGCUGUCGUCAGCUCGUGUUGUGAAAUGUUGGGUUAAGUCCCGCAACGAGCGCAACCCUUAUCCUUUGUUGCCAGCGGUUAGGCCGGGAACUCAAAGGAGACUGCCAGUGAUAAACUGGAGGAAGGUGGGGAUGACGUCAAGUCAUCAUGGCCCUUACGAGUAGGGCUACACACGUGCUACAAUGGCGCAUACAAAGAGAAGCGACCUCGCGAGAGCAAGCGGACCUCAUAAAGUGCGUCGUAGUCCGGAUUGGAGUCUGCAACUCGACUCCAUGAAGUCGGAAUCGCUAGUAAUCGUGGAUCAGAAUGCCACGGUGAAUACGUUCCCGGGCCUUGUACACACCGCCCGUCACACCAUGGGAGUGGGUUGCAAAAGAAGUAGGUAGCUUAACCUUCGGGAGGGCGCUUACCACUUUGUGAUUCAUGACUGGGGUGAAGUCGUAACAAGGUAACCGUAGGGGAACCUGCGGUUGGAUCACCUCCUUA
rnacentral:rRNA from 2 species